AAGCCAUGAUUCGGAGAUAGCAUCAAGUACUUCUUAAACCUCUCCCAAGCUUCAUUCAGUUGUUCCCCCAGAAGUUGUUUAAACUCAAAAAUUUUGUCUCUAAGUCC